rnacentral:rRNA from 1 species
GUGAGGAAUUUUCCGCAAUGGGCGAAAGCCUGACGGAGCAAUGCCGCGUGAAGGAUGAAGGCCUAUGGGUUGUAAACUUCUUUUCUCAGAAAAGAAUUAUGACGGUAUCUGAGGAAUAAGCAUCGGCUAACUCUGUGCCAGCAGCCGCGGUAAGACAGAGGAUGCAAGCGUUAUCCGGAAUGAUUGGGCGUAAAGCGUCUGUAGGUUGUUUAAAAAGUAUUCUGUCAAAGAUUAGGGCUUAACCCUAGAUAGGCAGAAUAAACUUUUAAGCUAGAGUUUGGUAGAGGCAGAGGGAAUUCCCGGUGGAGCGGUGAAAUGCGUAGAUAUCGGGAGGAACACCAAAGGCGAAGGCACUCUGCUGGGCCAAUACUAACACUGAGAGACGAAAGCGAGGGGAGCAAACAGGAUUAGAAACCCUUGUAGUCC